UACAGAGGUCUCGAGCGUUGUUCGGAUUCAUUGGGCGUAAAGGGCGCGUAGGCGGCGGGGUAAGUCUGGUGUGAAAUCUCGGAGCUCAACUCCGAAAUUGCACUGGAUACUGCUCUGCUAGAGGGCUGGAGAGGAGAUCGGAAUUCACGGUGUAGCAGUGAAAUGCGUAGAUAUCGUGAGGAAGACCAGUGGCGAAGGCGGCGAUCUGGGAAGAUAUUGACGCUGAGGUGCGAAAGCGUGGGGAGCAAACAGG
rnacentral:rRNA from 1 species